UGGGGGAUAUUGCACAAUGGGCGAAAGCCUGAUGCAGCGACGCCGCGUGGGGGAUGAAGGCUUUCGGGUUGUAAACCUCUUUCGCUAUCGAACAAGGCCCGCUUAGGGUGGGUUGAGGGUAGGUGGAGAAGAAGCGCCGGCUAACUACGUGCCAGCAGCCGCGGUAAUACGUAGGGCGCGAGCGUUGUCCGGAAUUAUUGGGCGUAAAGGGCUUGUAGGCGGCUUGUUGCGCCUGCUGUGAAAACGCGGGGCUUAACUUCGCGCGUGCAGUGGGUACGGGCAGGCUUGAGUGUGGUAGGGGUGACUGGAAUUCCAGGUGUUGCGGUGGAAUGCGCAGAUAUCUGGAGGAACACCGAUGGCGAAGGCAGGUCACUGGGCCAUUACUGACGCUGAGGAGCGAAAGCAUGGGUAGCGAACAGG
rnacentral:rRNA from 1 species